UGCAGUCGACGCCCUUCGCAGAACGGAGUGGCGGACGGGUGAGGAACACGUGGAUUACCUAUCCUUUGGUGAGGAAUACCGGCGAGAAAUCGCCGACAAUACCGCAUAUCCUUCUCACGAAGGAAAGCUCGCAAGAGCGCCAGAGGAUGGGUCUGCGUCUGAUUAGCUAGCUGGUGAGGUAAUGGCUUACCAGGGCGACGAUCAGUAGCUGGUCUGAGAGGACGAUCAGCCACACUGGGAUUGAGAACGGCCCAGACUCCUACGGGGGGCAGCAGUGAGGAAUUUUCGGCAAUGGGGGCAACCCUGACCGAGCAACGCCGCGUGCAGGAUGACGGCCUUCGGGUUGUAAACUGCUUUUCUUUGGGACGAGCAAGGACGGUACCAGAGGAACAAGCCCCGGCUAACUACGUGCCAGCAGCCGCGGUAAUACGUAGGGGGCAAGCGUUAUCCGGAAUUACUGGGCGUAAAGCGCACGCAGGCGGUUCGCCAAGUUUGGAGUGACAGUUGUUGGCUCAGCCGACAAAGGACUUCAAAAUCUGGUGCACUUGAGGACGAUAGAGAACAUGGAACUCCAGGUGAAGUAAUGACAUGCGUACAUAUCUGGAAGAACACCAAUGGCGAAUGCAAUGUUCUGGGUCGUUUCUGAAGCUCAGGGGGCAAAACCAUGGUGACCAAACGGUAUUAGAUUCCCCGGUAGUCCUGGGCCGUAGCAAUGAGCCUUAACCGUGGCGGGGUUCGACCCCUUUCCUGGUUGAAGUCAACGCGAAAAAAGGUCCCACUGAAGAGUCCGGACCACAAUAUAAACCUCAAGGACUUGUGGGGGACUUCCCAAACCGCCGAUGUUGGGGUUAUACUAUGCAUGCAUCC
rnacentral:rRNA from 1 species